rnacentral:snRNA from 1 species
AACUAUUUCAACACUACAAAUUAAAUACAUUUAUUGAG